rnacentral:rRNA from 1 species
GUACACUCCUGCGGGAGGCAGCAGUGGGGAAUAUUGAACAAUGGGCGCAAGCCUGAUCCAGCCAUGCCGCGUGAGUGAUGAAGGCCCUAGGGUUGUAAAGCUCUUUCACCGGUGAAGAUAAUGACGGUAACCGGAGAAGAAGCCCCGGCUAACUUCGUGCCAGCAGCCGCGGUAAUACGAAGGGGGCUAGCGUUGUUCGGAUUUACUGGGCGUAAAGCGCACGUAGGCGGACUAUUAAGUCAGGGGUGAAAUCCCGGGGCUCAACCCCGGAACUGCCUUUGAUACUGGUAGUCUUGAGUUCGAGAGAGGUGAGUGGAAUUCCGAGUGUAGAGGUGAAAUUCGUAGAUAUUCGGAGGAACACCAGUGGCGAAGGCGGCUCACUGGCUCGAUACUGACGCUGAGGUGCGAAAGCGUGGGGAGCAAACAGGAUUAGAAACCCUUGUAGUCCC